UACGUAGGGGGCUAGCGUUGUCCGGAAUCAUUGGGCGUAAAGCGCGUGUAGGCGGCUGGUAAGUCCGCUGUGAAAGUCGGGGGCUCAACCCUCGGAUGCCGGUGGAUACUGUCGGACUAGAGUACGGAAGAGGCGAGUGGAAUUCCUGGUGUAGCGGUGAAAUGCGCAGAUAUCAGGAGGAACACCAAUUGCGAAGGCAGCUCGCUGGGACGUUACUGACGCUGAGACGCGAAAGCGUGGGGAGCAAACAGG
rnacentral:rRNA from 1 species